rnacentral:rRNA from 1 species
AGCGAACGCUGGCGGCAGGCCUAACACAUGCAAGUCGAACGAACUCUUCGGAGUUAGUGGCGGACGGGUGAGUAACACGUGGGAACGUGCCUUUUGGUUCGGAAUAACUCAGGGAAACUUGUGCUAAUACCGAAUGUGCCCUUCGGGGGAAGGAUUUAUCGCCAUUAGAGCGGCCCGCGUCUGAUUAGCUAGUUGGUGAGGUAACGGCUCACCAAGGCGACGAUCAGUAGCUGGUCUGAGAGGAUGACCAGCCACACUGGGACUGAGACACGGCCCAGACUCCUACGGGAGGCAGCAGUGGGGAAUCUUGCGCAAUGGGCGAAAGCCUGACGCAGCCAUGCCGCGUGAAUGAUGAAGGUCUUAGGAUUGUAAGAUUCUUUCACCGGGGACGAUAAUGACGGUACCCGGAGAAGAAGCCCCGGCUAACUUCGUG